rnacentral:lncRNA from 10 species
CAGGAUUCUAGGGGAGAGUGGAACCAAUGGCUGGGCUGGAACCUGCAUGCCAGCACCUCCCCCACAUGCUGUUGGUCAAGCCAGAUUCAAGAGAUGGGGAAACAGACUCCGCCUCUGGAUGCCGCAAAGUCCCACGGCAAAGGGCAGGAAUAUAGAGCAUCAGGCUGCAAAUUUGAACACGAGCUUCCACAUGGUCAUCACAAAGAGGGAAAUACAGACAGCUUCGUGGCUCAUAAUUUCAAAAGAUAAAAAGAAAGAUGUCAUUUAGAAGCACACCUGUUCCUAGUACUCAGUCCUUGGAGGAUUCUCUUGCUGACUGAAAAACCUUAUCUAGGAAAAUAAAUGAACCUUUAGCUCUGGAAGGAGAUAGAAUGGAGAAUGCCCUAUAAGGAGACAAAGAAGAAAUAGCCUGAGUUUUUAAAAGAUGGAUUGAGAUCCCUUUCUCUCCUCCUGGUUGCUGAGGAAGACAUACAUAUCCCACUGCAAUAAAUCGGGGGAUGAUCAUUCAUACCAUGACAAAAUGGCAGAAAAUGUGCAACUCCAAGACCAAGAAAACGUGAAGAGGCUGUGACUACCUCCAUAAUACAGCAGAAGUAAGGAAAUGUGACUUCCAAGGCUAAUGAAUAAAAGGCUUUGCAGUUUUCUCCUUGGUCAGUUGGAAGCCACCUGCCAUGGACACUCAAGCAGUUCUGUGGAGAGGCUCAUGAGGGAAAGAACUGAGGCCCCUCCACCAACAUCCAGCACCAACUUGUCAGCUGUGUCUGUGAGCCAUCUAGGAAUGAGACCCUCCUGAAGCCCUGGUGAAGCCUUCAGAUGACCGUAGCCCCAGCCAACAUUUGGCUGCAGUCUCAUGGCAGGCUCCAAGCCAAACCCUACCAGUGAAUUUGCUACCAAAUUCCUGACUCAUGGAAACUGUGUGUGUAAUAAAUGUUUAUUGUAUGAUAAAGCCACUAAAUUUAGGAGUAAUUUCUUACACAGCAAUAGAUAACUAGUAGAGUCACUUUGCAUCUCUUAGGGUCUAUGGCAAAUGACACAUAAUGAAUAGAGAAAUUGGAACAGACAACUGGUUGUCUGUUUCAGUACAGAAACUGGUUGGUAUUAAGAGUGACAAUUUUUAUUAUAGUUCAAGCUAUAGUACUGUAUGUUCUUGAAUAAACUAUGCUAAUCUAGGCCAUCCAAAGACUUCCCAAAAUGUAUGGUGAGAAUAACAUUUCCAAGAUACUAAACCAAUGUUUGUAGCUCCUGAUAAUUCCUAAUUCCUGGUUGCCCCAAGCCACCACCUGCCCCAACUAAAACAAAAGAAUUGAUCACAUCAUAAUAAAAUUAGAACCUUCAAAGAACAGGCACUGAUCUCUUGGAAUUUUUAUUUUAAACUUAAGUUUACAUGACAAUCUGCUUCCACUUACAUGAUAAUCUGAAAGCAUAUGUUGAAAUGGCAUGGUUCUUGGUUGCAGAAAACAGAAAUGAAAUCUACCUAAGCAGAAAUUAAAAUUAUAGGAGGGAUAUUGGGAGCUCAUAACAUCCAGAGGCUGACUAAACAAACAGACUUCAACGUCAAAAGCAGCCCCCACCCUGGAGGCUAGGGAUCUAUGAGAGCAAAUUGAACAUCUGAUCUCUCAGCUCUCACCAAACUCACACCAUGGCAGAACCUUCACGAAGGGAGGAAGAGACUCAGAUGCUGAACACAAGGAGAG